rnacentral:rRNA from 1 species
AUACGGGGGGUGCAAGCGUUAAUCGGAAUUACUGGGCGUAAAGCGCGCGUAGGCGGUUUGCUCAGUCGGAUGUGUAAGCCCAGGGCUCAACCUUGGAACUGCAUACGAUACUGGCAAACUAGAGUGUGCGAGAGGAUAGUGGAAUUUCCGGUGUAGCGGUGAAAUGCGUAGAUAUCGGAAGGAACAUCAGUGGCGAAGGCGACUGUCUGGCUCAACACUGACGCUGAGGUGCGAAAGCGUGGGUAGCAAACAGAAUUAGAUACCCUUGUAGUCC